rnacentral:misc_RNA from 1 species
GUGAGUCAUCGAAUCUUUGAACGCACAUUGCGCCCGCCAGUAUUCUGGCGGGCAUGCCUGUCCGAGCGUCAUUUCAACCCUCGAACCCCUCCGGGGGGUCGGCGUUGGGGAUCGGGAACCCCUAAGACGGGAUCCCGGCCCCGAAAUACAGUGGCGGUCUCGCCGCAGCCUCUCCUGCGCAGUAGUUUGCACAACUCGCACCGGGAGCGCGGCGCGUCCACGUCCGUAAAACACCCAACUUCUGAAAUGUUGACCUCGGAUCAGGUAGGAAUACCCGCUGAACUUAAGCAUAUCAAUAAGCGGAGGA